rnacentral:rRNA from 1 species
AUUGAACGCUGGCGGCAUGCUUUACACAUGCAAGUCGAACGGUAACAGGGAGCUUGCUCCGCUGACGAGUGGCGAACGGGUGAGUAAUGUAUCGGAACGUACCCAAGAGUGGGGGAUAACGUAGCGAAAGUUACGCUAAUACCGCAUACGAUCUAUGGAUGAAAGUGGGGGACCUUCGGGCCUCAUGCUCCUGGAGCGGCCGAUAUCUGAUUAGCUAGUUGGUGAGGUAAAGGCUCACCAAGGCGACGAUCAGUAGCUGGUCUGAGAGGACGACCAGCCACACUGGGACUGAGACACGGCCCAGACUCCUACGGGAGGCAGCAGUGGGGAAUUUUGGACAAUGGGGGCAACCCUGAUCCAGCAAUGCCGCGUGAGUGAAGAAGGCCUUCGGGUUGUAAAGCUCUUUUGUCAGGGAAGAAACGGUGCGGGCUAAUAUCCCGUGCUAAUGACGGUACCUGAAGAAUAAGCACCGGCUAACUACGUGCCAGCCGCCGCCGUAA